rnacentral:rRNA from 1 species
AGAGAUAGAAGUUACUUCGGUACAUCGGUGACAGGUGGUGCAUGGUUGUCGUCAGCUCGUGUCGUGAGAUGUUGGUUAAGUCCCGCAACGAGCGCAACCCCUAUUGUUAGUUGCCAUCAUUCAGUUGGGCACUCUAGCGAGACUGCCGGUAAUAAACCGGAGGAAGGUCGGGAUGACGUCAAAUCAUCAUGCCCCUUAUGACCUGGGCUACACACGUGCUACAAUGGUUGGUACAACGAGUUGCGAGUCGGUGACGGCGAGCUAAUCUCUUAAAGCCAAUCUCAGUUCGGAUUGUAGGCUGCAACUCGCCUACAUGAAGUCGGAAUCGCUAGUAAUCGCGGAUCAGCACGCCGCGGUGAAUACGUUCCCGGGCCUU